rnacentral:rRNA from 1 species
UACGGGGGGGGCAAGCGUUGUUCGGAAUUACUGGGCGUAAAGGGCUCGUAGGCGGCCAACUAAGUCAGACGUGAAAUCCCUCGGCUUAACCGGGGAACUGCGUCUGAUACUGGAUGGCUCGAGUUCGGGAGAGGGAAGUGGAAUUCCAGGUGUAGCGGUGAAAUGCGUAGAUAUCUGGAGGAACACCGGUGGCGAAGGCGGCUUCCUGGACCGACACUGACGCUGAGGCGCGAAAGCCAGGGGAGCAAACGGGG